AUUGAACGCUGGCGGCAUGCUUUACACAUGCAAGUCGAACGGCAGCGCGGGGCAACCUGGCGGCGAGUGGCGAACGGGUGAGUAAUAUAUCGGAACGUACCCAGAAGUGGGGGAUAACGUAGCGAAAGUUACGCUAAUACCGCAUACGAUCUACGGAUGAAAGUAGGGGACCGCAAGGCCUUAUGCUUUUGGAGCGGCCGAUAUCUGAUUAGCUAGUUGGCGAGGUAAAGGCUCACCAAGGAGACGAUCAGUAGCUGGUCUGAGAGGACGACCAGCCACACUGGAACUGAGACACGGUCCAGACUCCUACGGGGGGCAGCAGUGGGGAAUUUUGGACAAUGGGCGCAAGCCUGAUCCAGCAAUGCCGCGUGAGUGAAGAAGGCCUUCGGGUUGUAAAGCUCUUUUGUCAGGGAAGAAACGGUAGAGGCUAAUAUCCUUUGCUAAUGACGGUACCUGAAGAAUAAGCACCGGCUAACUACGUG
rnacentral:rRNA from 1 species